UACGUAGGGUGCGAGCGUUGUCCGGAAUUAUUGGGCGUAAAGGGCUCGUAGGCGGUUUGUCGCGUCGGGAGUGAAAUCCACUGGCUUAACUGGUGGCUUGCUUUCGAUACGGGCAGACUGGAGGUAUGCAGGGGAGAACGGAAUUCCUGGUGUAGCGGUGAAAUGCGCAGAUAUCAGGAGGAACACCGGUGGCGAAGGCGGCAUCCUGGACCGGCAUUGACGCUGAGGAGCGAAAGCCAGGGGAGCAAACAGG
rnacentral:rRNA from 1 species